GACCGCGUAGCUCAGUUGGCAGAGCAUUGGGCUAGUAUUCCAAAGGUCGUAGGUUCAAUUCCCACCGUGGCCA
rnacentral:tRNA from 1 species